rnacentral:rRNA from 1 species
AGUGAACGCUGGCGGCGUGCUUAACACAUGCAAGUCGAACGAGAACGGAUUAUAGCUUGCUAUAAUUGUCAGCUAAGUGGCGCACGGGUGAGUAAUGUAUAGGUAAUAUGCCUCUUACUAAGGGAUAACAAAUGGUAACGUUUGCUAAUACCUUAUACUCCUUAUUAACAUAAGUUAAUAAGGGAAAGAUUUAUUGGUAAGAGAUUAGCCUGUAUUGUAUCAGUUAGUUGGUGGGGUAAUGGCUUACCAAGACUAUGACACAUAACUGGUUUGAGAGGAUGAUCAGUCACACUGGAACUGAGACACGGUCCAGACUCCUACGGGAGGCAGCAGUGGGGAAUAUUGCACAAUGGACGAAAGCCUGAUGCAGCAACGCCGCGUGGAGGAUGACACAUUUCGGUGCGUAAACUCCUUUUAUAUGAGAAGAUAAUGACGGUAUUAUAUGAAUAAGCACCGGCUAACUCCGUGCCAGCAGCCGCGGUAA